CGAGCGGUAGCGCAGAGGUCGUCGCGUCUCCCCCUCAAGGAGAAAGACGCCGGUUCGAAUCCGGCCCGCCCGC
rfam:Micromonospora echinofusca strain DSM 43913 genome assembly, chromosome: I